AGCUUUGCGCAGUGGCGAUAUCGUAACCAAUGAGGUACAACCGAGGUGCGAUUAUUGCUAGUUGAAAACUAAUAAGAAAAACAUGUCCAAGCGUCACAAAGCGUGCUAUGGAGUUGAUUAAUGUUACCCUAUUUAGC